AACGAACGCUGGCGGCAUGCCUAACACAUGCAAGUCGAACGAGACCUUCGGGUCUAGUGGCGCACGGGUGCGUAACGCGUGGGAACCUGCCCUUAGGUUCGGAAUAACUCCCCGAAAGGGGUGCUAAUACCGGAUAAUGUCUUCGGACCAAAGAUUUAUCGCCUUUGGAUGGGCCCGCGUUGGAUUAGCUAGUUGGUAGGGUAAAAGCCUACCAAGGCGACGAUCCAUAGCUGGUCUGAGAGGAUGAUCAGCCACACUGGGACUGAGACACGGCCCAGACUCCUACGGGAAGCAGCAGUGGGGAAUAUUGGACAAUGGGCGAAAGCCUGAUCCAGCAAUGCCGCGUGAGUGAUAAAGGCCUUAGGGUUGUAAAGCUCUUUUACCCGGGAUGAUAAUGACAGUACCGGGAGAAUAAGCUCCGGCUAACUCCGUG
rnacentral:rRNA from 1 species